GAUCUAUUCUUUACAGAAUUUUUCCAAAACAUUUUCAAACAUUCAGAUUUGUCUUUUAUUUUCUUGUCGAAACCUCAUAAAUGGUGAACUAAAAACCCUGGAAUAUGGUUUGAAACGUUGACAUUUUAGUCUGAAAAGGAGCAUGUUUCGCUUUCUGGCAGCGUUUAUUUUGAAAUUGCAACACUAAUCAGUGCUUCUCCGCACCUGUGGAGCACGCGCUGAGCAGACCCCGUCGGGCAUGCGCUGCAGAGCAUGCGCACCAGAGGAGGGGGCUGACUUGAGCAGAAAGCGCGGAGAGACAAGUCGAAAAGAAAAGACGGAAGAGCGCUGAUGAGGAAAAGCAGAAAGAAAGACUUUAACUGAGCUUGAAAUGAAACAAGAGCUAGCGAAUCUCUGCUGGACAGACUGCAUUGUAGAGUCUGACAGCAGCUGGAAGAUAAGACCUCUGAAAUUUCUCCUCGCAUGCUGUUGUUGCAGCAGCGUGUCACUGUAGGAGCUGCUCAGUGCUGCUAGGAUGACCUGCAUGUGGUGGGAGGCAAGAGGAAAAAAAAGAAAAAAGUGGAGGUGAGGGUUGAAUAAAAGGAUUGAAAAAUGCACAAUGUAUCGCCAACUGCUGCACCUGUAAGACAAAAACAAAAGCAAACAUGCAUCUCCUAGAGGCCAACCAUCCUGGUACAAGUCAAGAACUGAGUCCCAGGUGCCCAAGAACCACCUGGUAUCCAGAAAGUGGGGAGAAGCGUCCAGCCAGGAGUGCGGACUGUGUCCAGGGCCAAGCCACAGCAAGCCCCACAAACACAAAUUAUUCGCUCACUCACUCUCA